UUUUUGAGAGUGAGUUUAGAAGUUCAGGCAGUUCUUAUGAGGCUGAAAAACAUUGUAUAAAUUGUCAUACUCUGUGGUGUGAUUCUGCUUAUGACUGUGAAUUAUAAUGCUUUUUUUUCCAGGAAUGCACUAGGAAUAAGCAAGCAGAAGGCAGUUACUGCUAUAAUGACUUUGCUAUAAUGUCUUUGAUUACUAUUUCAAUAAAGCCUGUCUGUCUACUGCUUCUCUUCUUGUUUACAACUGCUCCUUCAUGUGUUACAGUGCCUUUCUAUGUUUUUCACACACAGAUUUUUGCUCCAUAUAGAAAUUACUAUUACAGCAUCUGCAUUUGAUGAAGCCUGCAGCUCAGUACUAAAGUCACUUAGGUUUUACAGACCAAUGAUUAUAAUUUGUUUGUAUUGCUCAGUUUGAGUUCACUAGUGGAAAAAGUAGUCAAAAUCCUUGAUGACUUUCAAGAGGAAUGUUGAUUUGUCUUUGGAUCAAAGUUGUAAUAAAUGUCUUUUUAGGGAAGCCCUACGAGUACAGAAGGUGUGGUCCAUAAGACCUUCACACAACAAUCUGAAAUUUUCUGUCAGAUAAUUGCUUUUUUUAGUGCAAAGCUAAAAAAAAUCAAAAUAUGUGAAUAAUAGACCCUCUUUAUGAUAAUAAAGACUCUAACUUGGCUUUAGUCCAAAAUUAAUAUGCUUUACUGUGUUCUUUAAAAGAAACCUUCCUACUGUUGCACAGGAUAAAUGUGAGCUCUAGCCAAAAGGUAAUUAGGUAUUUGUAAGCCAAACAAAUAAGUUAUGUUUUCAGUUGCUAUGUUUUCCUAUGUCUCUUGCUGUUUUUCUGAUUGCUGCAUUUUCUGUUGUUCUCUGUUGCAUUUCAUUUACAUAGGAAACGUUAGGUUGUAACUUUGUCUUGAAAGUUCAAGGACCAGCUAGCCCUGUGUUCUAGGUUGACAGUGCAGUUAUUUGGUAUUACAUUGUUGUUCAUUGCAUCUGCGUGGGGUUCAUCUGAGCUACCAAAGUGCCUGUUGAUGUCUUCAUUAGUGCUGCAACAUUGCUGGUUUCUUUGAAGUCUUCUAGACUGAUGGAACUUGGUGCCUUUGGCUGUGCGCUGGUUAUUGCACUGACUUCACUGAGCCCUCAGUGCUAAAGGCUCUUGCAAGAGGUCUGUUCUGCUUCUUGCUGUAUGCAGCCAUCUGGAACAACCCUGAAAGAUUUUCGCAGACCCUGCAAAGACUAUGUCUUUUAAGCUAAGUUGUUAGAGGUAUAGCUGCCAGUGAAGCAGAAAAGAGGAGAAGGUGAUGGUAGAAAGGAGAAAAGCCAGUGACAUAUCAUGUGACUGAUGAAUAAAUGCCACAGCUGUAACAGAACAUCAAAUAGCCAUAUGUUCUGCAAAUAUAUUGGUGGAGGGAAAAAGAGAAUGAAACUAGAAAGCCAAAAGCUCUUGGUUUUGCUGGCAGUGUGCUUCUAGUGUAGUGGACUCCUGAUGUUCAGCAUGGGGUUGUGGGUUGUUCUCCCGCCCUCUGGUUGACAGGGACAGAACCUGUGCAGUGCUGGUCCUUCAGUCGCAAGUUGUGCUGGGAGUCAGCUGGCGAUGGUCAGAAGCAGAGAUUUCAUGUCAGCUCCUACUCACUGCGAUGCGAUGAAUCAUCCCUACAGGAUUGCUUUCACCAUGAGAAAAUUAAUAUAGCAAAGUGAAAAAGCAAGCAGAAAUCUGACCCUCCCCACUCUCCCUCAUCCCAAAUAAUUAAUGUGCAUCACUGAAACCAUGUGGACUAGAUCAGAUGACAGAAGAACACAAUCAAGAUUAACUUUGCCACAUUUUAGUAAUAGUAAAUUAUGUUUUUCACCAACUAAUACAAUCCAGAUGGCUUCAGUAUGUGAAAUCUCAGAAUCUGCCCCUUCUUCAUGGUAUAUUUUGUACACAAUGUCCUGUUUUCCUUCACCAUGUUUUUCUCUAGUGUGUCUUCUAAUACAUUUCCUUAAUAUGUCCUAUUUUCCUCCAAUACAUUAAAAUAAAUUCAUUAUGUCUGCUUUAGAGCAAUUCUAUUUGUCAUAAAUCAUAAUUCAUAAUGCAAAAAUACUCUAUGUGUUUGUAUAUAUCUCUGUACAGACAACCAUAAUCAACUGUAUGUGUGUGUAGUUGUGCAUAAACAUAUAUAUAUAAAAAAUUUUUAUUUCACACAUUCUGUUUUCCAUUUUGGAAUAUUUCAAAAUAUACUGUUUUAUGUUCUUGCUAGAAAAUAUAUUAAUAAAAUAGAAAUGUGUGAAUUUGUUCUGUAGACUUGGUAUCAAACUGAUAUUCACUUUUUUCUUCAAAGCUAAAAAGGUUAUUUAAUCAAAGCAUGAAAAAUCACUUUGUCAUCAUAGACGUUUGCACUACAAUUGCCACUUUCUAGUAGUGACUUAGUUCUCCAUAAUAUAAUGCAUCUAACCACCAUUGCUACUUCUGAUUUCUGCUGAAAACUUAAACUAACAGAAGGUAAUGUAAAUCAGAUUAGAAGCAAUAUUUUUCAGCUCCCUUCUCCAGCUGUUUGGAUCAUGAAGAUUCUCUAAAAUAUUAUGUCUAAGGAGUCCUUUUGUAUACUGGAAUCAGUGGUUAUUUCUCAGCUAAAACAUGUAUCCUGCUUUCCUCUUAUACUAUUGCUUCAUUAGUGGUGGAUGUCAAGUCUUUUCUGCAUCUUCUUUCUUCUUGUUUGGAAGGACAGAAAAAUAUCUGAGAUGACUAUCUGGAUAGUGUUCUCCAUCAGCAUCCUUAGAGCUCUGUUGUUUCUCAAAACUUUAAAUCCUGCUGAAAGCAAUGCUACUUGCCUUUUUGUGGAUUGCAGCCAAGUGAGUCUUGCUGAUGUUCACAGAAUCUGCUUAUUCUGUUGCCUUGUCUUCUGUCUUGGAAGGUAGCAGACUGCUUUAUAAUCACUUCAUAUAUCCAGUCCCCUUUUUUGGAAAUCAGAGCUCCUAAAAAGAAUUGUAUAUUCUUAUAUAUAAUAAGCCAGAUGGGGAUGUUUUGCUGUGCUUUUGCAUGAAAAAACACUAAGUUCUUCCAUCAAAGCUGCCAUCUUACGCUUCAUGCAGUUGAAGUCUGGUAUAGACAGCAGUGUUAGCUGCUACUUUUUCCGUUUUUCAUCCUCAAGGAAGCUUUGCCUCUGAAGGAAAGGUUCCCAACUUUCUCCUUUAAGUUACCACAAAAAAUGUUCACAGUUAACUAUUUAUUUUGUUCAUCCACUGAUGUAACAUAAUAUCAUAUAUAUCAUUCAUUUUUCCCCAAAAGAUCAUCUAUCGCCUCAAAAUCUAGUAUAACAUGGAUAGCAGUUUCAUGCAAAGUAUUCGUAAAAUUCUUCUUGACAUUGAACAUGUGCUUUGGCAUGUUUCCCAAUACUGUAAUUUCAUUACUAUACUAACUAACAGUAAGCUUUUCUCUUUUUUUCUUGCAUUAAAUGAUGUCAAGAAGUUUUAAGUUAUAGUCAGAUUUUUCAGGUCAUUGGCGUAAUAAUUCAUCCAUGUAGGAUGCAUCCAGAUGAAUGAGCAGAGAUUAGUUAUAAUAAGGCAGUCACGUUAGGCCAACAAUAUUGAAGAAAUCUUUGAAUAAUUGUCUGUGAUGAAAUUGCCAAAAUUGUCAAUGAAUAUUGUUCACAAUUAUUCAAAGGUUGUACUUUAUGCUCAAUUAUCCUAUUUCUUCUGUGCACAGUAAAAAGCAUAGAGCACAAAAAUGUGAGACACUUCUCCCAAAACACUUGGAGAGCUGCAGAGUCUAAGUCUGUUCUCAUAUACAAUAGUGUCAAGCAACUCAAAACUAAGUCCGAAUUUUUACUCUUUAACCUUUUCACAAAUAUGAAUGGCUGGAGUUUCCCUGGGGCAACCCCCACCUUCCUGGAGGUGGGAGAAGGGAACAGGCAGCUUAAAAUGGGUGUCCUUGUAAUCUCAGGAUUUCAUUCACUUUCAAGAACUGCCACCAGCCAGUAACCUUCUGCCUUUGGUUCUUACGGGGCAGUGUUUUUCUUUUUUGCUGUCUGUGUAGUAAGGUAAAAUGGGAAGUACUCCUUUGGAAUGGAGUAAGGAAAUUAUGCUAAAUUGCCACCAGUUGUACAUUUGGGAAAUAAAAUUUCCAGCAAGUGAGAUGAGAUUGCUGAUGUAUGUAUGUUAUUAGAGGAGAGCUCUGACUGAUGAUCUCCCCAAGGGAUCUGUAAAUGGGGGAAAGCAAUCAGGCAAGCCUACUGGAAGAAGCAGGAAAAGUUUUCUUCUGCUCUUCUCAGGAGAUCUUUGCACAGCAUAGCAAAAGUCCCCUCAGCAGCCCUCCUUUUUCCCCCAAGUUGUUUCCUUUGAAACUAAUGGGUCAGCUUCUUUGUUCCUUCUGUUUUUUCUUUCCACAUGUCUCAGAAACAGAGGAAACUGUGGUGCCGCCUGUUCUGCCCUGCAGGCUUGGGGAGAGGGAGGAAGAAUGCCUGUGAAGGCACAGGAGCUGAGGCAAAGUUUUAGGUGGGAAAGAGAGGGAAAGGAGUAGAUUUGAUGUAUGAAGGCAAAAUUGUCUGGGGUAGAGCAAAUAGGCUGAUUUGAGGCAGGUAUGGUGAUCAUGGCACGCAUCAUUUUCCAUUUUUCUUUAGGCAGAAGUAAAGAAAGUUUCCUCUUAUGAUUAGUUCUGAAGCUCUCUGAUCUUAAUGAAAAUAAUGGAUUUGAAAACAUAUGCUACAGAUGGUGAUCAAGUACAUUUCCAUAGAAAAAUUGAGAAAAUGGAGAGAUGAAACAAUGCUCACCAAAUUUAGGUUUCUAAAUUUAGUUGUCUUAUGUCUAACCUAGUUGUCUUGAGCUGCCUUUGUGGUCAGUGGAGAGAAAUGGAGCUGUUCCUGGGGGUGAUUUAUCUCUUUCUAAGCAUCCAACAUACCUGAAAUGAGACAUCUCCUGGAGAGACUUUUACCCUCAGGUGUCUGUAAAGACCGACCUACAGUGAUCUGACUUAGACUAACUGUAGUUUUUAAAUGUUUAAGUUAGGUGAGGUGCAAUCCACUUUGUCUUUUUUGAGAUGUCUCUGGAAGAUACCAAGUCAUCUGGCCAGCCGGUUCAUUCUGUACACUAAACCAUUUUUCAAGAUGCAAACUUCAAACUUUAAAGAAAAUAAUAGAUUCAAAGCCAAUGGCUUGGAAAUUUCUCUGUAAAAUGUUAAGAGCCUAAGUAAAUUAAAAAUAAAAAAAAUAUUCCUAUCUCUAAUUGAAUAUCUUCAGUGGGAUGUAGCUAGUGGAUAGCCAGAUCCCUAAGUUAAUGUUUUUACUGCUGAUGAGUUAUGAUAUUCUCACAAAAUAAAUAUCUGCUGGUGUUAGUUCUGAGUGAGAAUAGCCUGUAAGAAACUAUUGUUCAACUCUGAAUGGAAUGGGUGAGAGGUGAUAAAGAUGGAUUUGGUCUAUAGGUUUUUAUCAGAUGCUGUCUUUACAAUAUGCAAAGGUGAUUAGACUUGAAUGUUUGUUUUUGAACCUAUAGGAUAAGAGAAUCUAUAAAGCAUUGGCUUUCAUUCUGGGGGAAAAAGUUGAGCAGUUGUCACUACAGGCUGAAGUAAAUAACUUUCAUGGCCUAUUAAAUUACAUGCAGGAAUCAUACAUUCAGGUUCAUAACUCUCAUGCCCUAUUAAAUUGCAUACCAGAGUAAUUGUUCCACACUCACUGCAGAAAUACAGUGUUACUGAACCAUUACUUUUUAAUCAUUGACUUAUAUCGCUCAUCUUUUAGUCCAUGUGAUAAUUUAGCUUGUUGAUCUUGGCAUGUGAUAUAGUUCUGUUAGGUGGACAGUGAUAAUGAAAGGGUUUUCCCUUUCUUGCUUUCACUACAAAUUUGGGGGUUUGUAUUCUCAUUAUAGUACUAUUGCACUUGACUCUGAGUGGUAAUGUGAAAAUAUCAUUUGUGUGACUGAGUUUAUGAUUUAUAGUUCUAUACUGGUUCAUCGGAAUUUUGCUUAUUCUUGUCAUGCAGGUUUGUUGGCUCUUGGAAGCACUCUUCUUUUUUCUAGGAAAGAGUCAGAGGCAUAAAAUAGAAAAGUCACACACCAAGACCCAGCUGAGAUGCGAUACAAUAGAAAUAAAACUCGCUUUUGGAACAUAACAAAGCGAACAGUAAUAUAUUUCCUCUGUGAAGCACAUUGUCUUUUUAUUCCAGUAAUUCUUCUUUCCCUUUUAUUAUUUUUUGUCAUUUUACAUAGAAGGAAAUGAGAAAUAAAAAAAUCCCCAGAGAAUAACUUUGAGUCCUCUAUCAAAGCAGUAAGAAGAUGUAUUUCAUUUAGAAUUCUAAGCUAAAGCUGACCAAGACAGGAAAGAUAGCUUUGCAGUGAUGACCUUUGUUCUAUGUUGAACUCAGUGGACUUUCUUGAAUGAGGCAUUUUAGACUAAGAUUUGCUGUUUUUUUCCUUUGUUUUUCAUCCUGCUUUUGUCUCAAGUCUCUUGCACAGCUGAGGCAACAGACUGAAUAUCUUCUACACUGGUUACAGAUAAAGGGCCGGGAACAUGCUGUCUUUUCUGUAUUCUCUUUUUCUAUAAUGAUAUUCAUGCCCUGCUUACAGAUAAAUUUACCUCCUUCUGUGUAAAACUGAGUCCUUUUCACUGUCUGGAUUCUCUGCCUCUGUUGCUGAAAACCUGAGGCUGUUUGUUUUCAGAAAGCUUGCCUCCACGUGGAUAUAUCACUACAAGUUUAAGAGCUGCUCCCACUGUGGUUGAUAAAAUGAAAGAUUUCUGAAAUGUAUUAAUCCCGGUGUAAACUGACAGACAGCAAAUGGAGAAUAAAUGGCAGUAGCAUCUGCCAUAUGGCAAGUACAUCAAAUCCGGGUGACAAAAGAGUGUGAAAAGCAGUUCUUGGCUCAACCUAGCUUUGUACUCUGGUAGUAAUUCUCAAUUUCUCUCUCCUCUAAAUGAGGUUGCUAGACCAAACCAUGCAGCUACAAGCACAGGUCCAAAAAGCAGCCCUUUCUCACUUUUCUUUUAUUUCUGUGCAAAUCAGUGGAUACUGGAAUUAAAUUGGAGUUAGGCAUGGUGAAUCUAAUGGGAAUGGGCAUCUUCCUUCCUAUCAGUCCUCAUUAAACUUCUGUUAGUUUUACAUUAAUUAUUGUCGGCCCAGUCCUCACAAGUUAAUGACAAAUUACUACUGACCUCCAUGCACUUCCACAUGUGUGAAGUACUAGCAGAAGCUGCUCCAAUGCACAAGAAAACUUGCAGAAACAAUUCAUUGGUCAUAGAAUCCAGUUAGUAAAGAAAAUGUUGUUAAGGGUAUACUGAACUUCUCAAGAAGCCUAUAUUGCCCAAUAGCCUAUGCCAUAACUAUAAAAGCAGAUCAGCACCACAUUUUGGUUGAGGCUGAAAUAAGUAUGUCAAAUAUGCAUUCAUAUUUGGACGUUUUAAAUAAGUUACACUUUUUUAGCAUUGUAAAGCUCUAGGUCAUGAUUUUAUCCUGGAUAACAGGAUUUAUUUGGGAGAAUCUUGAUCAAUGAUGAUAAUGAAAACAGGAGACAGUUUUUGAAAAAAUGCUGUUGGCUGCUAUGUUACAGAAAUUACUAUCAAAUUCAUGUCAGAAGCUUGGCAGCUAGCAAAAUUAAUCUGGGACUGGGGACAUAAGAGGCAAAAUAAAAGCUGAUCUCAGAUUUGGUCCAAGGCUAGAGAUUCCAGGGAAGGUUUCUGUUGACAUAAGAAAUGAGGACAUAGCUGUUCAUAUGGUUUAUGAUGAGCAGUAGAAUUUGAAGGCUGACUGAUAUCCUUGAUGUGGAGAUAGAGUUUUUAAAUUUAAAAUCUGUCAAGGAGAAGGUUAAGGCUUAUGCUUUAUUAGGAGUGAAGACAAGAGGGUACUGGAAAGUAUUAGGUGCAUGAGUAGCAGGCCUGUGCAUGUCUUAGCCAUUGAACUUGUUUUUCUUUAUAACUUUUGCAAAAGUCUGACAUCAUGUGUUAGAGGUAAAUAAAAUGUGCCAGCUAGUCUUUUCAGUAACGGCUGAUAUAAAAGCUGGCAAAGGGGAGAAUUAAACUCUGUGACAAAGUCCAUCACCGACCUACCAUUAUAAAUGUAACAGACUUCUGAAAUUCCUUGUUAAUUUUUUUAAGUUACAUUUUAAGAAAGAGUAAUACAUGCAUUUUGUUUGUACUUCUUUUAGGUGGUAUUAGGAUAAUGUGUAGAAGGAAAUAUGUCAAAGUAAAGUUUACAUGUUACAGGCUUCUCAGUCUUGCCCACUCAAUGUCUUAAAACUUUCCUAGAAGAAUGGUCUUAGGGGUAACAGCACAUACCAUUUUCAAUGUCCAUGAUUUCUUUAUUGCUAGAAUGUCAAGUGCUUGGGCUGAAACUUACAUUUCAUAAGAAAAGAGAAUAAAAUAUCUGCAUCUCUCCCUUUACCCAGCUGUGAAAUCUGAAAAUCUAUUUUCUGGUGAAAAAUACUGUACAACUCCUGCAUUUAAAAUAAAUAAUUAAAAUGAUGUUUACA